rnacentral:rRNA from 1 species
CCUACGUGCUGCAGCAGUGGGGAAUAUUGCGCAAUGGGCGAAAGCCUGACGCAGCGACGCCGCGUGAGGGAUGAAGGUCUUCGGAUCGUAAACCUCUGUCAGCAGGGAAGAACGGUAACUGUGCUAAUCAGCAGUGAAUUGACGGUACCUGCAAAGGAAGCACCGGCUAACUCCGUGCCAGCAGCCGCGGUAAUACGGAGGGUGCGAGCGUUAAUCGGAAUUACUGGGCGUAAAGCGCUCGUAGGCGGUAUGUCAAGUCAAGGGUGAAAUCCCCGCGCUCAACGUGGGAACUGCCUUUGAAACUGGCAAACUGGAGUGUGUGAGAGGAUAGUGGAAUUCCAGGUGUAGGAGUGAAAUCCGUAGAUAUCUGGAGGAACAUCAGUGGCGAAGGCGACUAUCUGGCACAUAACUGACGCUGAGGAGCGAAAGCGUGGGUAGCAAACAGGAUUAGAUACCCGAGUAGUC